rnacentral:lncRNA from 1 species
AUGAGUUUGUCCCUUCCUUCACUCAUUUGUUUACCCAGUGAUGCAUUCAUUCAACCACAGCGUCAGAGCUCCUGCUGUAAGCCAGAUGCCGGAGCCCCGGAAGCAACACAAACACCAAGACACAGUCCUGGAACGCUGAAGCCACAGCACAGUCGGGGAGGCGGAGAGAAAACCAGAGCAGAGCUCAGCUCCAGCGGGGACCAGCAUCUCCCCAAACAGGACACUGUGAAAAUCCAGCAAUCCACAGGCACAGGUCAGGACAACUCAGAGUCCACGAAAUGGGACCUACCCGGGAGUCAGCCAUCUCUCUUCUUUGGUGGAUGCCUGGUUAUGGGAGCAGAAGACCCUCAAAGUAGGGGCCAGGGCAGAUCCAUCAGCAGACCAGCCCCAUCUCCUGCUGAGAGGGCUGGAGAAGCUGGCAGGACUAACCCUGUCUCGCCCUCUCUCACUGUCUCUCUCUCUCUGUCUGUCUCUCUCUCUCUCACUCCCUCUCUCUCUCUCUCUCUUUCUCUCUCUCACUCUCUCUCUCUCACUGUCUCUCUCACUGUCUCUCUCUCUCUCACUCCCUCUCUCUCUCUCCCUCUCUCUCUCACUCUCUCUCUCUUUCUCUCUCUCUCUCUCACUGUCUCUCUCUCUCACUGUCUCUCUCACUCUCUCUCUCACUGUCUCUCUCUCUUGCUCUCUCUCUCUUUCUAUCUCACUCUCUCUCUCUCUCUUUCACUGUCUCUCUCUCUCUCCCUCUCUCUCUUUGUCUCUCUCUCACUCUGUCUCUCACUCUCUUACUCUUUCUCCAUGUCUCUGUGUGUGUGUGUGUGUCUCUCUCUCUGUCUGUCACUCACCCUCUGUCGUCCGUUCUCUCUGUGUCUGGUGCCUCCAUGCAUGUUCAGUACCGUUUACACAGUGAGGCAGAGAAGGUCUGAGCUGAUCUUGAGCAGGUGUUCUCUGACCGUGAGCCUCAGAAUCCUUCUCUGCAUCCUCAGUCCCCGAGGGCACCUGCCCAUCCUUUCUCCCUUGGCUCUGGGAAGGGAUCCGGCCCUGUGGUUCCUGGGCCCCAGGGCUGACCCUGAGAGGCCGGAGGGUGACGUUCUCAGGGCUGGGAGAGGUGGGGCUGGCAGGUGGAGUCCUGGGCUUGGAGGCUGCUGUGUGCCCUGGGCUGCCUCGGGGUGCAAAGGAGGAAUCUGUGUCUGCUUGCCACAGGUCGGCUGCCUCAUCGGCCCACAUCUUGCUUGA